GACGAACGCUGGCGGCGUGCUUAACACAUGCAAGUCGAACGCGCCUGUCCUCUGGGUUUCUGGGGGGUGGGUGAGUGGCGAACGGGUGAGUAACACGUGAGUAACCUGCCCCCUUCUUCGGGAUAACGGUCUGAAAGGGCUGCUAAUACCGGGUAUUCACUGGUCUCCGCAUGGGGUCUGGUGGAAAGGGUUUUUUCUGGUGGGGGAUGGGCUCGCGGCCUAUCAGCUUGUUGGUGGGGUGAUGGCCCACCAAGGCUUUGACGGGUAGCCGGCCUGAGAGGGUGACCGGUCACAUUGGGACUGAGAUACGGCCCAGACUCCUACGGGAGGCAGCAGUGGGGAAUAUUGCACAAUGGGCGAAAGCCUGAUGCAGCGACGCCGCGUGAGGGAUGGAGGCCUUCGGGUUGUGAACCUCUUUCGCCCGUGGUCAAGCCGCGACGUGGGUCGUGGUGAGGGAGUGGGAAAGAAGC
rnacentral:rRNA from 1 species